rnacentral:rRNA from 1 species
UUAAUUACUCGAAUUUCCUGUGUAGGUGAAAAAGCCUAUUAAUAAAAUGGGACGAGAAGACCCUUAGAAUUUACUAAUGUUAAUUUCACUGGGGCGGUGCUGGCAUUGGAUCUGCUAUAGUUUUCUACAAGACGGUUGUAUCAGGAAUGAAAAAAUUACCUAAGGGAUAACAGCAUAAUUUUAUAAUCAAGAUUGUGACCUCGAUGUUGGACUANGGAAUUCUAGGGUCAGAAGCUC